CCCCGCCCCUAAUGCAACUGACUAAAAAUAAGUUCUGACUUUGCUGACUAUAGCAAGUCAUGGCUGAUCAAGCAAAAAACUUUAUAUUAUAUGUAGGCUAAUUAUUUAUAUAUUUAAUGUCUUAAUAAAAUAUAUCAUGAAUAAUUAAUUCUAACGGAAACAAAACACGAUACAUCACAACUACUAAAACAAAACAUAUCCUAGCAAAGUUUCUAUUUUGCUUAAUGCAUUAAGGCAGGUUAUAAACGCAUUGUUAAAUACAUUCAUCAUAGCUAACACUAAGGAAGAAUCCAGUUCAGAAAGGUGCACUGGAGAACACUGUCUGCCGGAAAUUGCUUUAUAG
ensembl:lncRNA